rnacentral:tRNA from 1 species
GUGCCCGUAACUCAGUGGAUAGAGUGGCAGCCUUCUAAGCUGCAAACAUGGGUUCGAAUCCCAUCGGGCAUUCCA